CGUACACUCCUGCGGGAGGCAGCAGUGGGGAAUAUUGCACAAUGGGCGCAAGCCUGAUGCAGCCAUGCCGCGGGUAUGAAGAAGGCCUUCGGGUUGUAAAGUACUUUCAGCGGGGAGGAAGGCAAUACGGUUAAUAACCGUGUUGAUUGACGUUACCCGCAGAAGAAGCACCGGCUAACUCCGUGCCAGCAGCCGCGGUAAUACGGAGGGUGCAAGCGUUAAUCGGAAUUACUGGGCGUAAAGCGCACGCAGGCGGUCUGUCAAGUCGGAUGUGAAAUCCCCGGGCUCAACCUGGGAACUGCAUUCGAAACUGGCAGGCUUGAGUCUUGUAGAGGGGGGUAGAAUUCCAGGUGUAGCGGUGAAAUGCGUAGAGAUCUGGAGGAAUACCGGUGGCGAAGGCGGCCCCCUGGACAAAGACUGACGCUCAGGUGCGAAAGCGUGGGGAGCAAACAGGAUUAGAUACCCGGGUAGUCCCAUGA
rnacentral:rRNA from 1 species